UCACCUUGUAGGCUCCGUCGUACUGGGCCACCUCCUCACCCAACAGGAACACCCGCUCGUCCCUCUCCAGCUCCUCAUCCAUCGCCUGGUUCAGGGCAUCACGGACCAUCAUCUGACAAAAACAACAGCGCAGAAGGCCACCACAGUCAACUGCUACCUCGACCCAAUGCACAUUCUUCUGUGAUGUGCUGAAUACAUGUGGCAAAACCAGUUGGGGAAGACAAAAUAGAAGAGGAGGAGGGAGGAAUCUGGACGAUUUCAUCAGCCAGUCACACGGUCGUCAAACAGGAGACACAAAAAAGAGACAGUGCGAGAGAGAGCAGAGUCCUCCACACUUAGGGACAAAAAAGACAAAUCCACAGAGACAUCAGCAUCAAACUUCAUCUUUCUAAGAGUAAGACAACCAUGCUUCCAUCUUUUUUUCUGCAUAUCUUCUGCCUCUUCAUCCACACAACAGGACAGCCGAAGGAAAACUUGAAACCACUUUGGAAUAAACAGAGGCUUGAAUUUAUAAAAAGCAGGAGACAUACUAACUAAAUACUUAAAAAGUGGGUGCUCAAGUAGAAAAAUGCAGAUGAGAUCCUCUGGCAGGGCCCUACUUAUGGUUCCAAAAUCUCAACUUGUCACUAAAGGUGACCGGACCUUUGCUUUCCGGGCCCCUCAGCUGUGGAAGUCCCUGCCUGAGGAUCUCAGGAAGGCAAACACAGUAUCCUCCUUUAAAUCUCUUCUUAAGACUGACUUUUAUCGAAUGGCUUUUUCUGAAUCUGAUGGUAUUUGUUGGAAUUAUUUAAAUAAUUUUACCAUGUUUAUAUCUUAAGUUCUGGAUCUUAUUUGCUUUUAUUCAAUGUUUUUAUUGUAAAGCGCUUUGCAACUUUGUUUUAAAGUUAUUAUUAUUGUGUGCAUCCUCAGUCAGCAGCAAAUACUGCAGACACAAACCAAACUGAGCAAGAUGAAUGCAAACAUAAGGAAAAACUUCAUAAGCAUCAUAAGACUUAAAUGAUCUCUUUCUUUAAAGGUGAACUCCACCAGUUUGACACAUUAAGUUCAGUUUGACGGUCAUGAGGAGUAGUGUGGAGGUGGUAUCUUGUCUUAUGAUCAGUUUAGUUAAUACAUUUUAGUUAAAUAGGCCAUCAGUCAUCAACUUAUUAAAUGGCAUUUGCUGUGUGUGUUACCAGUUCUGUUUGUCUGUGUAAAAGUGAGUAUGAGUGACUGACAGUAUGCAGGAGUCUUUUUUUAAAUGUUUUUUUAAAUAAAAGGGUAGACAUUUUUUCUUACGUUAGUAGAAGUGAUCUUUGUUCAAGGAGAGGUGGUCCACAUCCGCUAUAAAUCACUGCAGGAAACCUUGGAGUUCUACCCGUGGACCAAACAGGCUACUUGGACACAAGCUGGGGCCUGACCCUGGCUGGGUCCCGUGGGCGAGGUUGUCUGAGGUUGAAAGACCCGAAACAUCUGAUGACUCCAGGUUACAUCACUGAUGAAGAAACUAACUUGGAACAGAAAGACCUGCUUCAUAAACUGAAGUACUCGUGUCGUUCCUGGCUGCCUCUGCUUAUUCUGUCUUUCUACCUCCUGGAGAACCACAGCAGUUUGAAGAGGAAUACCACUCGCUAUACAAUUAUAGAGAACUGUUGGUCUCCCCUUCCCUGUGUUCCUAGUGCAUGAAUUAACUCACUUUUUAAUCGCAAGUAAUAUGUUUCCUGAUUAAUGGAAAUGUAAAUUUUACUUUACUUUAUACAUAACCCUGAUUUUCAUAGUGCUGUGGAAGAUUUAACAUGCCUAAAUAAUAAACAAAUCAAACUGAAAUAAAGUGAAAUACAAUACAAAUUGUAAUGUUUAUUUCCUUUUUAUUUAUGCAUAUACUGUCAUAUUUAAAUGGAAAACAUAUGCUAAAAUUAUUUAUCCUUUUGUCUAUAAUAACUGAAUGAACUGAUUUUUGUCCAUUGUCCAUGCCACAUUAAAAUCAAAUCACAACACAGAAAACAAAGAGGUGCAUUUCAGUGUUGUCCUGCGGAGGACGAACAUAGACCUGACAAUACAAAUUAUUCUUCAUGAGGAGGUGCAAGGGAGCUUUUAUAUGUAUUUCCUUUUUAUAAAUAAAAAGGAAAUGCAUAUUACAAUGUGUAUUGUAUUUCACUUUAUUUCUUUGAUUUGUUUUUAUUAAGGCUUUUUAAAUCUUCCAUAUUUCUAAAGGUGCGUUCAAAAACAGUUUGCCAUAAGCAUUUGCAAUAAACACUCUCAAUCUUCCUGAACCAUUUUUUAAUCAAAUGUACAUUCGGUUGAUAGUUAUCAUUUCAUCACAGCAGGCUUGGUAGAUUUUUUAUUUCAAUAUUGAUGAUGAGGAGGGUCAUUCUGCAGCUGCAUUAAAUGUAGAAAAGAUAUUUUCAUCUAAAGGCGACAUUGUGACAAAACAUUUGAUGCAUCUGUAACUGUAAAUGACCUAGACAUUGCAGAGUGGUUUUUCAUACCAAUUUACAUGUAAUCCAGCGCCGUCUCUGGGACUCUGAAUUUAUUCCGCAAAUUGUUUUCACAAACACACCUCUGGGUAAAGUGCUGCAGAGAAAUAUACUGAUACAAUUUAAUGACCAUUCAAAACGCGAAGACCAUCGCAUUGGACCGGAUUGCACUGAAUAAUAAAAACAAAUGAUUUCAACAUAGAGCAGUCAUUUAAAACAAACACUCUGAGUGCUAAAACUUGGAUUGUUGUGAUCAGAUUCACAACAAAAUCUGCUCCAAUCGCAGCUCUGUCCGCCACACUUGAGCACACAGUAUGUCAGGUAAUCACAGGUGAGUAGGAUUAACGUAAAAGGUGAAGAAAUGAGAACUGAGACACAGUGAAAUAAAAAAAAUUCACUGUGCAGAUCAGUCGUAGAUCCUGGCGGCCUUGUGGUGCUUCUACCCUGAGAGUCCAUAGUCACACCCACUUUUAAAAGAAUAAUUCGACAUUUUGGGAAAUAUGCUUAUUUGCUUUUGGGCAGAGAGUUAGAGGAGAUGAUCGUUACCACUCACACACAUCUGUCCGUUAAAUAUAAGGCUACAGCGAGAAGCCGGUUAGCUUAGCUUAGCACAAAGACUGAAACAGGAGGAAACAGAAAGCCCGCCUCUAUCUAACGGUAAUAAAGUCUGCCUACAAGCACCUCUCAUUCACUAAUUUACAUGUUAUAUGUCGUUCGUUUAAUCCAUACAAAAAUUUGUGAGCCCAGAGGUGCUGGUAGGCGGAGUCUGUUAUCUUCAGACUGAGCUAGUCUAGCUGUUUGCCCGUUUCCAGUUUUCAUUCUGUGCUAAGCGGCUGCUGGCUGUAGCUUCACAUUUAACGGACAGACAUAUGACUGAUAUCGAUCUUCUCAUGUUACAGUCCUACAAAGAGAAUAAGUGCGUUUCCCCAAAAUGUCGAACUGUUCCUUUAAGCAAUCGGAUCAAAUCCCUCUCAUAAUGAAACAUUGUGGAAGCUAAAGAGUCGUAACUGCAGCUUCACUUUGAAUCCAGUACAUGUUCGAGAUUGAAAGUUCAUUCUUGACCUUGGAAGCAGAAGUUGACAAAACAAACUCACAAAAAGGUCCAUUUAGUAGGUGUUCUGGAGCUUUCGAUUGUAUCACACCACCUUCCUCAGCGUAUGCAGUUGCAGAGUUGUCAUUGAAUAUUUUCCACCAUGGAUGAGAAGUCCGUAAAAAGAGCUCAGAAAAAUGGAAAUUUGAACGUGUAAUUCCAUGACAACUGGGCAAAACUCAAUCUACUGAGGAAGAUAGACAGUCGGACAGAGUCGGAUCUAAAUCACCCAUUUUCUUUCCAAAACCAAGAAUCUGACAUUUAAUCCCACUUUAACUUUUAGGCUAGAUUUUGAUUUUCAGUCAUACCACAUGGGAUAUUUUUAUUGCUAAAACAAUUAGUUGAUUAAUUGAUUCUGAUAAGCGAUUAGUCGUUUAAAGUCACUUCUUAAGCAAAGAUUCCAAACAUGC